rnacentral:rRNA from 1 species
AGUGAACGCUGGCGGUAGGCCUAACACAUGCAAGUCGAACGGCAACACAUUAAGAGCUUGCUCUUACGGGUGGCGAGUGGCGGACGGGUGAGGAAUAAAUCGGCAUCUACUUUUUCGUGGGGGAUAACGUAGGGAAACUUACGCUAAUACCGCAUACGACCUACGGGUGAAAGCAGGGGAUCUUCGGACCUUGCGCGAUUGAAUGAGCCGAUGUCGGAUUAGCUAGUUGGCGGGGUAAAGGCCCACCAAGGCGACGACCCGUAGCUGGUCUGAGAGGAUGAUCAGCCACACUGGAACUGAGCCACGGUCCAGGCUCCUACGGGAGGCAGCAGUGGGGAAUAUUGGACAAUGGGCGCAAGCCUGAUCCAGCCAUACCGCGUGGGUGAAGAAGGCCUUCGGGUUGUAAAGCCCUUUUGUUGGGAAAGAAAAGCAGCAGGUUAAUACCCCGCUGUUCUGACGGUACCCAAAGAAUAAGCACCGGCUAACUUCGUG